rnacentral:rRNA from 1 species
GAUGAACGCUGGCGGCGUGCCUAAUACAUGCAAGUCGAGCGAACAGACGAGGAGCUUGCUCCUCUGACGUUAGCGGCGGACGGGUGAGUAACACGUGGAUAACCUACCUAUAAGACUGGGAUAACUUCGGGAAACCGGAGCUAAUACCGGAUAAUAUAUUGAACCGCAUGGUUCAAUAGUGGAAGACGGUUUUGCUGUCACUUAUAGAUGGAUCCGCGCCGCAUUAGCUAGUUGGUAAGGUAACGGCCUACCAAGGCAACGAUGCGUAGCCGACCUGAGAGGGUGAUCGGCCACACUGGAACUGAGACACGGUCCAGACUCCUACGGGAGGCAGCAGUAGGGAAUCUUCCGCAAUGGGCGAAAGCUUGACGGAGCAACGCCGCGUGAGUGAUGAAGGUCUUCGGAUCGUAAAACUCUGUUAUUAGGGAAGAACAAAUGUGUAAGUAACUAUGCACGUCUUGACGGUACCUAAUCAGAAAGCCACGGCUAACUACGU